GGUGGGGGAGGCGCUGCAAACCCUCUUGGGGGCUUCUUUGUUCCUCUCUGUGCUCACUAAAGGGCCGGGUGUGCCUGCUGUACCCGAGCGGGGGUCGCACUGGGGAUGCCUGCAGGAUCCUGGCUGCAGCGCGCCCCAGGCUGACAAUUGAACCUCGCGGGAGAAGCGAGAGGGUGGAGAGGAGGGUGGAUUCCCGGCCCUGAUAAGGCGCUGCCAGGGCCUCGGGAGAAGCGGGAAAGCCGCCCAGAGAAGGGAAAGGAAGGGGGCAGCAGGCAGAGUCCCCGCCAGGCGCCCGCUUACCUUGGCAGCCUCGGCCUGGGCAUAAAUCAUGCUCCUGUCGGCGCGUAGAUGAGAGCCGGCGGGGCGUGCGUGCCCUACAGGGCGCGCCGGGCGACCGAGACCUGCGAGGGGGACUGGGGCGCCCACUCGUUACCGCCGCGCUCCGGGUGCUCCGGGCGAGCGGUGACCACCGCCACGACGGAGGGGCGUACGCAGCUCGGUGAGGGCCGGCUGGGUCAGAGAAGCGCUGUAUUUCGGCUCCAACAACGGCUCCUGAAGAACGCACUCCCAUAGAAGACAUUUUCACACCCAGAAAAGUCUUUCCCAUAACCCAAACUGCAGUCCUCCUCUAGAAUAAACAGGGUCGGCCUUGACUCCAGACUUCUAUCAAGACGAAGGUCUGGUGGGACGCAGGAAAGGACUGGCAUGCCUGCUCACCUCAGGCCAUGUGCACAUAAAGACAACCAGAACACAGUUCCCACUCAAGUGGCACCUACAAUGCUGAGAAAGCUAUGACGUGGACUGACCAUGGACUUCACCAUUGGGAAGAGGCUUCACCUCAGUGCUGGCAGUGAAUGCCUUAUAGCUACGGACCGAGCUGUUGUAGCUAUGCUCAUGGUGUCAAGUCUGACAUAGUCUCUCUCCACAGGACAAAUUAUAGCCAGUGAUACAAAAUUAUCAUUUGAGGACACGUUAGUUCCUAAGGCUUAGAAUAAAAAGCCUUAGGUCAGCUGAGCAAGUUAUCUGAAAAACCAGGUCUUCCUCUGAUGAGGGAAAAAAGAUUUUAAUUUUUUUCUUUUAAAAAUUUUAUUGGGAAGUUGGGGAAGGGGAACAGCCAAG